rnacentral:rRNA from 1 species
AAUGGGCGCAAGCCUGAACCAGCCAUCCCGCGUGAAGGAAGACAGCCCUAGUGGUUUUAAACUUCUUUUAUACAUGAAGAAAGGCAGGUACGCGUACCUGCGUGACGGUAAUGUAGGAAUAAGCAUCGGCUAACUCCGUGCCAGCAGCCGCGGUAAUACGGAGGAUGCAAGCGUUAUCCGGAUUCAUUGGGUUUAAAGGGUACGUAGGUGGCUGGAUAAGUCAGUGGUGAAAACCUGCCGCUUAACGGUAGGCGUGCCAUUGAAACUGUUUGGCUUGAGUACAGUUGAGGUAAGCGGAAUGUGUAGUGUAGCGGUGAAAUGCAUAGAUAUUACACAGAACCCCGAUUGCGAAGGCAGCUUACUAAACUGCCACUGACGCUGAUGUACGAAAGCGUGGGUAGCGAA